rnacentral:rRNA from 1 species
AAGAGACAGCAGUCGCCGCGGGAAUACGGAGGGUGCAAGCGUUAUCCGGAUUUAUUGGGUUUAAAGGGUCCGUAGGCGGAUCUGUAAGUCAGUGGUGAAAUCUCACAGCUUAACUGUGAAACUGCCAUUGAUACUGCAGGUCUUGAGUAAAUUUGAAGUGGCUGGAAUAAGUAGUGUAGCGGUGAAAUGCAUAGAUAUUACUUAGAACACCAAUUGCGAAGGCAGGUCACUAAGAUUUAACUGACGCUGAUGGACGAAAGCGUGGGGAGCGAACAGGAUUAGAUACCCGAGUAGUCCCUGUCUCUUAUAC